rnacentral:tRNA from 1 species
GAGGGCAUAGCUCAGUGGUAGAGUGUGUGCCUGGCACGCACAAGGCCCUGCAUUCU